rnacentral:rRNA from 1 species
AUACGUAGGGGGCGAGCGUUGUCCGGAAUGAUUGGGCGUAAAGGGCGCGUAGGCGGCCCGGUAAGUCUGGAGUGAAAGUCCUGUUUUUAAGAUGGGAAUUGCUUUGGAUACUGUCGGGCUUGAGUGCAGGAGAGGUAAGUGGAAUUCCCAGUGUAGCGGUGAAAUGCGUAGAGAUUGGGAGGAACACCAGUGGCGAAGGCGACUUACUGGACUGUAACUGACGCUGAGGCGCGAAAGUGUGGGGAGCAAACAGGAUUAGAUACCCUGGUAGUCCACGCUGUAAACGAUGAAUACUAGGUGUGCGGGGACUGACCCCCUGCGUGCCGCAGCUAACGCAAUAAGUAUUCCACCUGGGGAGUACGAUCGCAAGGUUGAAACUCAAAUGAAUUGACGGGG